rnacentral:rRNA from 1 species
CAGGCCUAACACAUGCAAGUCGAGCGCGCCUUCGGGUGAGCGGCGGACGGGUUAGUAACGCGUGGGAACGUGCCCUUUUCUACGGAAUAGCCUCUGGAAACGGAGAGUAAUACCGUAUACGCCCUUUGGGGGAAAGAUUUAUCGGAGAAGGAUCGGCCCGCGUUAGAUUAGGUAGUUGGUGGGGUAACGGCCUACCAAGCCUACGAUCUAUAGCUGGUUUUAGAGGAUGAUCAGCAACACUGGGACUGAGACACGGCCCAGACUCCUACGGGAGGCAGCAGUGGGGAAUCUUAGACAAUGGGGGCAACCCUGAUCUAGCCAUGCCGCGUGAGUGAUGAAGGCCUUAGGGUCGUAAAGCUCUUUCGCCUGUGAUGAUAAUGACAGUAGCAGGUAAAGAAACCCCGGCUAACUCCGUGCCAGCAGCCGCGGUAAUACGGAGGGGGUUAGCGUUGUUUGGAAUUACUGGGCGUAAAGCGCGCGUAGGCGGAUUAGAAAGUUGGGGGUGAAAUCCCGGGGCUCAACCUCGGAACUGCCUCCAAAACUGCUAGUCUAGAGUUCGAGAGAGGUGAGUGGAAUUCCGAGUGUAGAGGUGAAAUUCGUAGAUAUUCGGAGGAACACCAGUGGCGAAGGCGGCUCACUGGCUCGAUAC